CGGUCGCGCGCCCGCCGGGGAUGACGGGCCGGCCCUCAGGUGGCCGGGAGCAGCCCUUCGAUCGCGUCGGCGGCGGCCGCC
rnacentral:tRNA from 1 species